UACGUAGGUGGCAAGCGUUGUCCGGAUUUACUGGGCGUAAAGGGCGUGCAGGCGGUCUGCUAAGUCCAGGGUGAAAGCUCCCGGCUCAACUGGGAGAGGUCCUUGCAUACUGGCGGACUUGAGGGGGGUAGAGGAAAGUGGAAUUCCCGGUGUAGUGGUGAUAUGCGUAGAUAUCGGGAGGAACACCGGUGGCGAAGGCGGCUUUCUGGGCCCUACCUGACGCUGAGACGCGAAAGCGUGGGGAGCGAACCGG
rnacentral:rRNA from 1 species